rnacentral:rRNA from 1 species
AACGAACGCUGGCGGCAGGCCUAACACAUGCAAGUCGAGCGAGGACUUCGGUCCUAGCGGCGGACGGGUGAGUAACGCGUGGGAACGUGCCCUUUGCUACGGAAUAGCCCCGGGAAACGGGGAGUAAUACCGUAAGUGCCCUUCGGGGGAAAGAUUUAUCGGCAAAGGAUCGGCCCGCGUUGGAUUAGGUAGUUGGUGGGGUAAUGGCCUACCAAGCCGACGAUCCAUAGCCGGUUUGAGAGGAUGAUCAGCCACACUGGGACUGAGACACCGCCCAGACUCCUUCGGGAGGCAGCAGUGAGGAAUCUUAGACAAUGUAGGAAACCCUGAUCUAGCCAUGCCGCGUGAGCGAUAAAGGCCUUAGGGUUGUAUAGCUCUAUCAGUGGGGAAGAUAAUGACGGUACCCACAGAAGAAGCCCCGGCUAACUCCGUGCCAGCCGCCGCUGUAAGAC